AGUGAACGCUGGCGGUAGGCCUAACACAUGCAAGUCGAACGGCAGCACAGUAAGAGCUUGCUCUUACGGGUGGCGAGUGGCGGACGGGUGAGGAAUACAUCGGAAUCUACUUUUUCGUGGGGGAUAACGUAGGGAAACUUACGCUAAUACCACAUACGACCUACGGGUGAAAGCAGGGGAUCUUCGGACCUUGCGCGAUUGAAUGAGCCGAUGUCGGAUUAGCUAGUUGGCGGGGUAAAGGCCCACCAAGGCGACGAUCCGUAGCUGGUCUGAGAGGAUGAUCAGCCACACUGGAACUGAGACACGGUCCAGACUCCUACGGGAGGCAGCAGUGGGGAAUAUUGGACAAUGGGCGCAAGCCUGAUCCAGCCAUACCGCGUGGGUGAAGAAGGCCUUCGGGUUGUAAAGCCCUUUUGUUGGGAAAGAAAAGCAGCAGGUUAAUACCCCGCUGUCCUGACGGUACCCAAAGAAUAAGCACCGGCUAACUUCGUG
rnacentral:rRNA from 1 species